AGCAAGUACACACGCAGGA
rnacentral:misc_RNA from 1 species